CUGCCCUCCCCUCUCCAGCCCUCGCUUCACCAGAAAGCCCCGUUCCUGCCCUCCUUGUAAUGGACCGGGUCCUGGUCUUUCUGUUGGAGCCCUGCCUCCCUCACUGGGCAGAGAGCAGGGGGCACUCUGACCUACACCCGCUCCCCCAACUCCUGGCAGGUGACAGGGGCCGCACAAACAGGUGUGUCAGCACUGCACUGAAGGGAGGGAGCCUAGGGGACACCUUCUACCCCACACCUCUGUGCCACCCCUUGCCCAGGACCCCCAGACAUCAGGCAGGGUGCCCCACUGGACCCUGGACCCGGGCUCUGCCACCGCAGGCCAGCGAGAACCCUCGGGACUUGGUUUCCUCAUCUAAGAUGGGGGCGGGGGUGUGUGUGUGUGUGGACUGUGUGCCAACCUAGGUUCA
rnacentral:lncRNA from 1 species